rnacentral:rRNA from 1 species
AGUGAACGCUGGCGGUAGGCCUAACACAUGCAAGUCGAACGGCAGCACAGUAAGAGCUUGCUCUUACGGGUGGCGAGUGGCGGACGGGUGAGGAAUACAUCGGAAUCUACUUUUUCGUGGGGGAUAACGUAGGGAAACUUACGCUAAUACCGCAUACGACCUACGGGUGAAAGCAGUGGAUCUUCGGACCUUGCGCGAUUGAAUGAGCCGAUGUCGGAUUAGCUAGUUGGCGGGGUAAAGGCCCACCAAGGCGACGAUCCGUAGCUGGUCUGAGAGGAUGAUCGGCCACACUGGAACUGAGACACGGUCAAGACUCCUAAGGGAGGCAGCAGUGGGGAAUAUGGGACAAUGGGCGCAAGCCUGAUCCAGCCAUACCGCGUGGGUGAAGAAGGCCUUCGGGUUGUAAAGCCCUUUUGUUGGGAAAGAAAAGCAGCAGGUUAAUACCCCGCUGUUCUGACGGUACCCAAAGAAUAAGCACCGGCUAACUUCGUG